rnacentral:rRNA from 1 species
CCUACGGGAGGCAGCAGUGAGGAAUAUUGGUCAAUGGCCGGAAGGCUGAACCAGCCAUGCCGCGUGAAGGUCAGUGCCCUAUGGGCGUUAAACUUCUUUUGUGCGGGAGCAAUAAUGGUCACGUGUGGCCAGACGAGAGUACCGUACGAAUAAGCAUCGGCUAACUCCGUGCCAGCAGCCGCGGUAAUACGGGGGAUGCAAGCGUUUUCCGGAUUUAUUGGGGUUAAAGGGGGCGUAGGCUGUGAGGUAAGUCAGCGGUGAAAUGCCCCCGCUCAACGGGGUGAAGUGCCAUUGAUACUGCCUUGCUGGAAUGCGGAUGCCGUGGGAGGAAUGUGUGGUGUAGCGGUGAAAUGCAUAGAUAUCACACAGAACACCGAUUGCGAAGGCAUCUCACGAAUCCGCGAUUGACGCUGAUGCACGAAAGCGUGGGUAUCAAACAGGAUUAGAUACCCUUGUAGUC